rnacentral:tRNA from 1 species
UGUAGCUCAGUGGUAGAGUGCUUGCCUUGUACUCGUGAGGUCCUGGGUUCAAGCCUCAGCA